CACAAAAAACCCAUCAUUUCUCACGGCUUGCACACUCAAAUUCCUCACCAACUCCAUAGCAUUAGCGCUGAAAACAGUCUUAUUUCCGCCAGAAAAAUCCCCAUCUGCACAUGCUGUUUCGUCCUGUGAACUCAGCGUCUCGUUAAAGAAAUUAUAAUCAUCGUACCUUAAAUAGCACCCAUCGUAGAAAAGUCUGCCCCCACGAGUGCCUCUUUGGAAAGGGAGGCACCUCAAAACCUGAGUCUUGCACUGGGCGAAACAGAGAUUGCAAUCUGUUUGAUCAAGAUCUUUCAUGCACUCACCAAAGGUAUAUACUGUAUUGUUACCUGUCCCGUUGAUAACAGCUCCGUACUGUAGCCUCGCAAUCAAAGGAGUCACUGCGUCCAUUGUAGCUAAGAAAUUUGCUACGAAGAUUUGCCUCUCUUGCAUCGGGGCUGUUCUGUUUGAGCACAUCCGACCUGCCUCCGUAGCUCUUGGAUCAGACAAGGAAAUUUUCACCAAGAAACAGGAACAGAAAAGCAGAGAGAUCACAUAAUAACCAUAUGGGAAAG
rnacentral:misc_RNA from 1 species